UACGUAGGGUGCAAGCGUUGUCCGGAAUUACUGGGCGUAAAGAGCUCGUAGGCGGUGCGUCGCGUCGGCCGUGAAAACCUGCAGCUUAACUGUGGGCUUGCGGUCGAUACGGGCAUCACUGGAGUUCGGCAGGGGAGACUGGAAUUCCUGGUGUAGCGGUGAAAUGCGCAGAUAUCAGAAGGAACACCGGUGGCGAAGGCGGGUCUCUGGGCCGAUACUGACGCUGAGGAGCGAAAGCGUGGGGAGCGAACAGG
rnacentral:rRNA from 1 species